ACGGAAGGCAGCAGUGGGGAAUAUUGGACAAUGGGCGCAAGCCUGAUCCAGCGACGCCGCGUGAGUGAAGAAGUAUUUCGGUAUGUAAAGCUCUAUCAGCAGGGAAGAUAAUGACGGUACCUGACUAAGAAGCCCCGGCUAACUACGUGCCAGCAGCCGCGGUAAUACGUAGGGGGCAAGCGUUAUCCGGAUUUACUGGGUGUAAAGGGAGCGUAGACGGUAUGGCAAGUCUGAUGUGAAAACCCAGGGCUCAACCCUGGGACUGCAUUGGAAACUGUCAAACUAGAGUGCAGGAGAGGUAAGUGGAAUUCCUAGUGUAGCGGUGAAAUGCGCAGAUAUUAGGAGGAACACCAGUGGCGAAGGCGGCUUACUGGACUGUAACUGACGUUGAGGCUCGAAAGCGUGGGGAGCAAACAGGAUUAGAUACCCUGGUA
rnacentral:rRNA from 1 species